AGUAUAGCACUACGCGGCUAUCGCCACAUAUUGCAAACAUUUUCUGUGUUUUACUCGCAAAAUUCAUCAUGCCAUCUCGAUGUGUAGCGAUGUAUUGCUCUCACGAAGGCUCGAAACUUUAUGAGUGGCCCAAAAAAAAAUCUUCUGCAAUGAUUUGGACCGCUUUUGUGAAAGUGAAGAGGAAGAACUUUUCUCCUGUUCCUCGGUCGGUACUUUGUUUUAAUCAUUUCAGCGACGACCGCUUUGACAACCUACUAGAAUACAGCCUUGGUUUUACAAAGAUGCUCCGUCUGAAGAAAAAUGCAGUGCCAACAAUCCACCUGCCAGACCCUGAUGCAUCGAAGACAUCCCAACAAAAUCAUGACAAUUUUACUCCAACACCGAGGUCUGCCUAUUCGAAGAGGGAAAGAUCGCGUCAAAUAGAUGCUGCUUUGUCUGAGGCAUUAUUAUUGGAUUGCCAAGAACAUUCGGAGUUUUCUGAGUGGGAGCCAAUUAAAUCAGCAACUGCUGAGAAGGGAUGUCAAACAUUAAAGAUAAAGAGGUGGAAACGCCCAACACGACAAAAAAAGCGUUUCAAGUCAGUCGCUAUUCAGUUUCCUGAAGAAGAAAAAAAAGACUAAAAGGGCUACAUACACGAUACAUACUCAUAGACUUCAUAAUUAUAUUGACGGGACAGAUUCCCCAAACAUUGUGGCACGCCUUUUCGUAGGGGGCCGUCCCACACUCUGCUUCAGUUAUUUGCAGUCUGUUUUAGUUCUUCUCAAACUCAUGCAGCGACCCAACGCCGGAUUUAGGUUGAAAAUGUACGAAAGCUGUACCUCAUGCAAACAGUAAGGAUUGUCCCAGGAGUGUUCGAAGAUUCAAUAUAUUUUUUUGUACCACGCAUGCAUUUUGAAACAUUGUGAAAAAAUCAAUGGGAGAAAUUAGCCACUACAGCAUUGGCGUUAUACUACUUCGCAAUAUUUACGUAAAAUAAGUGCAAACUGCCUGUUUUUUUUGUUGUUGUUUUUUUUUCUUUUUGCUUUUAACCAAGAAUCAAGACUGUUUUAUGUCCAUAUCUAUAAAGAAUUCAUGGAUUUAAGCAUUUAUUCAGAAGAAUUUCAACGUAAAAAGCUCUUUGUUGAGAUAAAGCGGUGCCACAGUGGCUUAAAGUGCAUGUGACACGAAAAAGCAUGUUUAUUUCAUAAUACACGCGGUAUUUUAUGCUCCUGAAUGAUAUGGACCACUUAGAUGUGUGUGGAAGCGAUCGCUAUAUUUAUUUAGUUUUUUGAAUCCCGCUCCAUGAAAAUGAGUGACUUCCGGCUUCGGUCUUGCAUUGAGAAGGAGGGCGCUGUGACGUGUACGGUAGAAGACGUCCUCUUCACUAUACAGCGUACUGUUGUGUAUGAGGACGAAGGAUUCAGCUGAUUUUGCGGAUUAAUACGUUUAUUUUUCGCAUCACGCCAGCCAAACGGCUGCAGAAAAAUCAUUCUGCAUGAGGGAGAGGCGUAUGCGCCUUUUUGGAGUUUCUAAAGGUUCCCAUUCACCAUGGAUAUUUAUUGUGGGACGAUUGGACUUACGAGGAAGUGAGUAAACAUCUUGUUCUGUAUUAUGUCAAAUGCGAAUACAGCGAUUACAAAGUAAACACUACAAACUUUCUUUAAGUAAAGGACUACUUACGUUUGAUCAUUGAUAGGCAUGUAAAAAGCUCUCCUCAUGCACAUUAGCAGCACGUUAGCUGCACAACAACUGCAGCCACCCUCCUCCGGGGAACGAACUGUAAACUGCUCUCCGACGAGCGGUUUGCCGAUCCAUGAAGACAAUCGACAACCCAGUCGUCAUGUCAAUAAAUCCAGGCUAGUUAUGUGUGAUUUUCCACUUCGAAGACUUUGAAACAUCACUUGGUUCGGGUUAGCAUAUCGGCUAGCUGUCACGCCUUUUGGUUUGUUUACAUUAUCCGAAGCCGGGGAAGGGAAAUGACAUAUGUCCGAUUUAGGUGUCAUAAAAUAUCGUUCGGGAGGUGCGACUGUAAAGGUGAAGUCGACAGCUUUGACCAUUAUGGAGUAAUUUUGCCAUGUCGUCCUGAAUAAAUGCAUUUUUAUUAUUUCAUAUUCCAUUUAGCACAAGACUGUUAUUUGUCAUGACCAUGCAAUUUAUUUAGCAAGUGGGGAAAAUACAUAAUAAAAUAAAAAGAAUACCCUGUAAAAAAAAAAAAAAGAGAGAAACAAUGACAUUUUGCAGCUCUCUUCGUCGCGUUUUCCUGGUUGUGAAUAGUUCCCCCUCGACGGGCUGACUGGUCCUUCUCAAGCCAUUUACAGUGCCUUGCAAAAGUAUUCGGCCCCCUUGAACCUUGCAACCUUUCGCCACAUUUCAGGCUUCAAACAUAAAGAUAUAAAAUUUUAAUUUUUUGUCAAGAAUCAACAACAAGUGGGACACAAUCGUGAAGUGGAACAAAAUUUAUUGGAUAAUUUAAACUUUUUUUAACAAAUAAAAAACUGAAAAGUGGGGCGUGCAAUAUUAUUCGGCCCCCUUGCGUUAAUACUUUGUAGCGCCACCUUUUGCUCCAAUUACAGCUGCAAGUCGCUUGGGGUAUGUUUCUAUCAGUUUUGCACAUCGAGAGACUGACAUUCUUGCCCAUUCUUCCUUGCAAAACAGCUCAAGCUCAGUGAGGUUGGAUGGAGAGUGUUUGUGAACAGCAGUCUUCAGCUCUUUCUACAGAUUCUCGAUUGGAUUCAGGUCUGGACUUUGACUUGGCCAUUCUAACACCUGGAUACGUUUAUUUUUGAACCAUUCCAUUGUAGAUUUGGCUUUAUGUUUUGGAUCAUUGUCCUGUUGGAAGAUAAAUCUCCGCCCCAGUCUCAGGUCUUGUGCAGAUACCAACAGGUUUUCUUCCAGAAUGUUCCUGUAUUUGGCUGCAUCCAUCUUCCCGUCAAUUUUAACCAUCUUCCCUGUCCCUGCUGA